AUUGAACGCUGGCGGCAUGCCUUACACAUGCAAGUCGAACGGCAGCACGGGGGCAACCCUGGUGGCGAGUGGCGAACGGGUGAGUAAUACAUCGGAACGUGCCCGAUAGUGGGGGAUAGCUCGGCGAAAGCCGGAUUAAUACCGCAUACGACCUACGGGUGAAAGCGGGGAUCGCAAGACCUCGCGCUAUCAGAGCGGCCGAUGUCAGAUUAGGUUGUUGGUGGGGAAAGGCCUACCAAGCCGACGAUCUGUAGCUGGUCUGAGAGGACGGACCAGCCACACUGGGACUGAGACACGGCCCAGACUCCUACGGGAGGCAGCAGUGGGGAAUUUUGGACAAUGGGCGAAAGCCUGAUCCAGCCAUGCCGCGUGCGGGAAGAAGGCCU
rnacentral:rRNA from 1 species